AGCUUUGCAAAGUGGCAGUAUCAUAGCCAAUGAGGUUUAUCCGAGGUGUGAUUAUUGCUAACUGAAAAUGGCCCCACGAUGUCAAACAAAGGAUACAGUAACAAUUUCUCAAGUCUUAGAGUAAG
ensembl:snRNA U4 U4 spliceosomal RNA